GUCUCUCUCUCCUUUUCUCCUUAUUCGUUUUUGUGUAUGAAAAAGUUUAUUGAUGAUUUUUUUAGAGCUUCGCGUUUUGAGGAUCCGCCUUUUCAUUUCUCAUCUAAUUUUGCUUCUUGAGCUUGCGGAAACUCUGGAAUAUUUUUGCGUUCAUUUUAGGUGACUUCAAAGCUUUCUAGCUUUUAGAGUAACUGAUUCUGAAAUGGCGUUUAAUUGUUUUAGUUUUCUAUAUUGGCUUGUCAACUUCCAAAGAACUUCUGUGUCUAGGCAUGUAUGGUGUUGUAAGAAUAUUCUGGUUUGUUCAUAGUUUUCUUUUUUAAUGUAUUUCUGUCAGUAAAAAUUACCUCGGAAAAGCCAAAUCAGAUUGUUUUUUCUUUCUUCGAGUAGCGGAGAUCUUUUCGUAAGGGAUUCAUGAGUCAUUGACUACUGUUUUCUUUUUAUUUCAGCUUCAAUUUCAACCGAAGCAACUGCAGAAGUGAUUGAUGGAAAAUUGGUGGCAAAGCAGAUCAGAGAAGAGAUUACUGCUGAAGUAUCUCGAAUGAAGGAUGCCAUUGGUGUUGUUCCAGGCUUAGCAGUCAUCCUUGUAGGAGAUAGGAAGGAUUCUGCAACUUAUGUACGAAAUAAGAAAAAAGCUUGUGAAUCUGUGGGUAUUAAAUCUUUUGAAGUAAACUUACCCGAAGAUUGCACCGAGCAAGAAGUACUCAAGUAUAUAUCUGACUUCAAUGAUGAUCCAUCCGUCCAUGGAAUUCUUGUUCAGUUACCUCUACCUAAAGUACGUCACCAAAACUCCAUUUCUUUUGCCAAAUAGUUAUCUUGUCACAAUUUACUAUACUAUCUUAGUAUAUCAAGUAUAUCACGUAGUUUAGUUGAGAUGCACAUAAGCUGGUUUAACACUCACUGUCACAUAUAUAUCUAUAUAUAUAUAUGAAGCAACCUAAAUGUAAAUUAUCUGUUAUCUUAAAUAAGUUGUGGGUCUCGUCUUUCUGCUUGUUUUAUCGAAUUAAUUUUUAAAAUAGUGUCUUCAUUUUGUGCCCAUGCCCUUUGUUCUAUGGUUUAUGUAAAUGGAGACGAGAGUUUGAAAUUGGAUUUUGCCUUGUUUCAUUUGUAACUAGAACAUAGGUGUAAUGGUCUUAUGGCACAAUGCUCACUAAUACAAUAGCAAUUGAAGGUCAAGGAUUACAUGUUUAUUGACUUUAUGUUUUCAUUGAUUUGACAGCAC
rnacentral:lncRNA from 1 species